UUGUGAUUGUAUUCAGCUCAAGCUGUAGUAAAUGCUCUUUUCAGCAUAAAAAGUAACGAUUAUUUCUCUGUCUAAAUUUAUUCGUAAAAUAUGCAUCACCUACCAUUAAAUUUCUUUGAUUUUUGCUACUGUGUUCAUCCACAAGCUACAAAAUGAAUCAUCUGAGCUGUCAAAAGAUAUUUUCGAAAAGAAAAUAAUGGGCCCGGAAAAAGCUAUAUUGUAGAAGAUGCAAUGGGUUGGUGUUUAUCCCGGUCUUAAGAAAGAAAGAUUCCAGAUUUGCUGCUGUUCUCUAGACAUUUCUCCUCAACUAUUUAAUUGUUGGAAUUGGAAUAGAACGAGAAAUCCGUGGAUGCUGAACCAACCAUGGCCAAAAAGGCAGUGAAAAUGUACUUGUGAACACCAAAAGAAAAUCGAACGGGAAGUUACCCAAACCCAAGAAAAGAAUAAAAACACAGAAAAAUGAGAAAAACGGAAUUUUUAAUCCUUCUAUUUUGAAACAUCAACAAAAUUUGUGUAUAAUUUACGUAGCUCAGCCUCUUGGCAAGGCUCUAAUUUGAUAACUAUCAUGCUGGGUUUCGCGCAUUUGAUUGUUUCGGGUAGCGAAAAGCUUUUCUCCAUAACAGCCGGCGGGGGUGGAAGUCCAGCUAUGAGAGUUCAAGUGGUUCAAGUUUUUUUUGUACUAUUUAAAAAUUUACCCAAGAAUAUGAAGCAGAUAUUCAAAGAAAUUCAAAAGAUGUUGGUUAUGUUUUCAAAUUUGGUCCUUUUUCACACUAAUUUUGUGGCAAUAAAAACCUCCUCUCGAUUUUCUUAGAAUUCAGCAACUUUCCUUCUUGAUU